CAGUAGCCGCGGUAAUACAGAGGGUGCGAGCGUUAAUCGGAUUUACUGGGCGUAAAGCGUGCGUAGGCGGCUAAUUGAGUUGGAUGUGAAAUCCCCGAGCUUAACUUGGGAAUUGCAUUCGAUACUGGUUAGCUAGAGUGUGGGAGAGGAUGGUAGAAUUCCAGGUGUAGCGGUGAAAUGCGUAGAGAUCUGGAGGAAUACCGAUGGCGAAGGCAGCCAUCUGGCCUAACACUGACGCUGAGGUACGAAAGCAUGGGGAGCAAACAGGAUUAGAUACCCCUGUAGUCCCUGUCUCUUAUAC
rnacentral:rRNA from 1 species